rnacentral:rRNA from 1 species
CUGAAUAUGGGGGGACCAUCCUCCAAGGCUAAAUACUCCUGACUGACCGAUAGUGAACCAGUACCGUGAGGGAAAGGCGAAAAGAACCCCGGCGAGGGGAGUGAAAAAGAACCUGAAACCGUGUACGUACAAGCAGUGGGAGCACAGAGCAAUCUGUGUGACUGCGUACCUUUUGUAUAAUGGGUCAGCGACUUAUAUUCUGUAGCAAGGUUAACCGAAUAGGGGAGCCGAAGGGAAACCGAGUCUUAACUGGGCGUUAAGUUGCAGGGUAUAGACCCGAAACCCGGUGAUCUAGCCAUGGGCAGGUUGAAGGUUGGGUAACACUAACUGGAGGACCGAACCGACUAAUGUUGAAAAAUUAGCGGAUGACUUGUGGCUGGGGGUGAAAGGCCAAUCAAACCGGGAGAUAGCUGGUUCUCCCCGAAAGCUAUUUAGGUAGCGCCUCGUGAAUUCAUCUCCGGGGGUAGAGCACUGUUUCGGCAAGGGGGUCAUCCCGACUUACCAACCCGAUGCAAACUGCGAAUACCGGAGAAUGUUAUCACGGGAGACACACGGCGGGUGCUAACGUCCGUCGUGAAGAGGGAAACAACCCAGACCGCCAGCUAAGGUCCCAAAGUCAUGGUUAAGUGGGAAACGAUGUGGGAAGGCCCAGACAGCCAGGAUGUUGGCUUAGAAGCAGCCAUCAUUUAAAGAAAGCGUAAUAGCUCACUGGUCGAGUCGGCCUGCGCGGAAGAUGUAACGGGGCUAAACCAUGCAC